GCAGUGGGGAAUAUUGCACAAUGGGGGAAACCCUGAUGCAGCCAUGCCCGCGUGUGURRAARAAGGCUUCGGGUUGUAAAGCACUUUCAGUAGGGAGGAAAGGUAGCGUGUUAAUAGCCCGUUACUGUGACGUUACCUACAGAAGAAGGACCGGCUAACUCCGUGCCAGCAGCCGCGGUAAUACGGAGGGUCCGAGCGUUAAUCGGAAUUACUGGGCGUAAAAGCGUGCGCAGGCGGUUUGUUAAGCCNNAUGUGAAAUCCCCGGGUUCAACCUGGGAAUUGCAUUUGGAACCGGCGAACUAGAGUCUUGUAGAGGGGGGUAGAAUUCCAGGUGUAGCGGUGAAAUGCGUAGAUAUCUGGAGGAAUACCGGUGGCGAAGGCGGCCCCCUKGACAAAGACCGACGCUCAUGCACGAAAGCGUGGGGAGCAAACAG
rnacentral:rRNA from 1 species